UUUUAUAGCCGAUAAAUCAAACAAAUUGAUGGAAUCAAACCAUUACAAUAUGAAUCACGAAGAACUGAUAAAUCAAACAAAUCGAUUGUGACGAACCUUCUGUGGCUAUUAAUCACGAAGAACCUUCUGCCGCUGUUAAUCACGAAGAACAUUCCAUAGCUGGUGGAGAGAAGUGUUGAUCGAAUGAAUUGAGAGUUUUGAACUUUGAAGUCGAAGAGAGGGAAAGAUAGGUGUGAAAUCGAAGAGAGGGAAAGAUAGGUGUGAAAUCGAAGAGAGAGAUGUGUGAAGUCGAAGAGAGAGAAAGAGAGGUGUGAAAGUGAAACUGGGAAUCGAUAGGUGUGAAAGUGAAACUGUGAGAGAUAUGUUCUGUCAUGUCAAGUCGAAGAGAGAGAAAGAUAGGGUUAUGUUACAUUGGGCCACAACAACA
rnacentral:lncRNA from 1 species